AAGGGAGACCUAAUUCGGGUAGAAGACGAAAAAAUAGUAGUCGAAACCAAGAAUCAAUCCCAAAAGGUCGGAACGAGGUAUGUGGCUUUCAAACUAGGUUCUGGGUUCACAAAAGACCUGAAUCAGGAACAAGGGCUAUUAGCUCAGGUGGUUAGAGCGCACCCCUGAUAAGGGUGAGGUCCCUGGUUCGAGUCCAGGAUGGCCCACCUGCACAGGUGGCGAAAACAAGAGAAACGAGGAAUCAGCACCUUAUCUUACUUACAUAGUAAGAGAGAAUGCUGGCUCUGAGUAAAGAGUCCAGAGGAACCUUGAAAACUGCAUAGAGCUAGGUGAAAAAGCCAAAAAAGAAGACCGCAA
rnacentral:tRNA from 1 species